rnacentral:rRNA from 1 species
AUUUUACGAGGUGCUGCAUGGUUGUCGUCAGCUCGUGCCGUGAGGUGUCGGGUUAAGUCCCAUAACGAGCGCAACCCCUACCUUUAGUUGCCAUCAGGUUAAGCUGGGGACUCUAAAGGAACUGCCUACGCAAGUAGUGAGGAAGGCGGGGAUGACGUCAAAUCAGCACGGCCCUUACGUCCAGGGCUACACACGUGCUACAAUGGCCGAUACAGAGGGCAGCUACCUGGUGACAGGAUGCAAAUCUCCAAAGUCGGUCUCAGUUCGGAUCGGAGUCUGCAACCCGACUCCGUGAAGUUGGAUUCGCUAGUAAUCGCGCAUCAGCCAUGGCGCGGUGAAUACGUUCCCGGGCCUU